GUCCACGCCGUAAACGAUGACAACUAGGUGUCGGGCAUCUAAGGAUGUUCGGUGCCGCAGCUAACGCGAUAAGUUGUCCGCCUGGGGAGUACGGCCGCAAGGCUAAAACUCAAAGGAAUUGACGGGGGCCCGCACAAGCAGCGGAGCGUGUGGUUUAAUUCGAUGCAACGCGAAGAACCUUACCUGGCCUUGACAUGCAGGUUGUAGGGAACCGAAAGGGGACCGACCCUCGGGAGCCUGCACAGGUGCUGCAUGGCUGUCGU
rnacentral:rRNA from 1 species